rnacentral:tRNA from 1 species
GGGCUGGUAGCUGAGAUGGUGUAGCGCCUGGCUGAAGACCAGGAGAGAAGGAUUCGAGCGCCUUCCAGCCCGCCU